rnacentral:rRNA from 1 species
GACGAGGGAUCCUAGCGUUGUUCGGAAUCAUUGGGCGUAAAGCGGGUGCAUGUUGCUUUGUAAGUCAGGUGUGAAAGCCCAGGGCUCAACCCUGGAAGUGCAUUUGAUACUGCAAAGCUUGAGUGGUGGAGAGGUAAGUAGAAUUCCUGGUGUAGUGGUGAAAUACGUAGAUAUCAGGAGGAAUACCGGAGGCGAAGGCGGCUUACUGGCCACACACUGACACUCAGACCCGAAAGCGUGGGGAUCAAACAGG